rnacentral:tRNA from 1 species
GCGGAUGUGCUGGAACCGGUAGACAGGCAGGCUUGAGGAGCCUGUGGACGCUUUAGUCCGUGGAGGUUCAAAUCCUCUCAUCCGCA